GGUUUUGAGGGCGAUCUGACUGUGACAUCUGUCACCCUGUUGAUCACGAGGGUUGUGUUGGUUGGCUAGCUAGGCAGAUGUCCCUCUCCCAUUGACCCACAUAUAUCCCCACUGAAGCUGUGAGCUUGGUGGAAGAGAAUGGCCACUUCAGAUAGAAGGAGUGCACCAUUAUUUGGACAAUGGUAUAUGAUGGCUGAGCCCUAUUUCCAGAACCUUCAAACAAGCUCAAGGAAGUAGGGUGAGAUUCUAAAGCUGUGUAAGGAGUAAUGUGUAAACUU
rnacentral:snRNA from 1 species